rnacentral:lncRNA from 10 species
UUCCCUGGCUCGGAGCUCUGUGGGCAGGGCUCUGGCCUGCUGGGGGCCUGCAGUGUGUGUCUUGCUUCUCUGAGUUUGCUGAGCUUCUCUGAGUUUCUUUUUGCCAUAAGACCCCUCUCCUCCUUUCUCCCCACCGCUGUUUCCUCCAAGAUGGGAAGAAGCAGCUUCUCUCCAGACCCUUGAACACAAUCCUCUUGACCCAGGUCAUUGAUGAUAACCCUUCUCACUGGCUAGGAACAACAGUUGAUGCUCUGCUUCCUAGAGCUUGUCAGCAUUUUCAGUGCUUCCAGAGUUAUUUCUUGCAUUUUGCCUUACAGCUGCCCCCUGGAAGCCAGGUGAGCAGUCAGUCCUGCCCAUGUUAGAAAUGAGACAGCUGACACUCGAAGGGGCCUUUCCCUGGUGCCCAAGAUCACAGUCGCUUGGCUGGAAUGCAAGUCUCCUGGCCCCUAGGCCAGCGUUUUCCACACCAUAAGCCAUACUGUCUGGUUUCGGUCAGCCUUUCAACAGACUGUCCCAGGCACCGAUCAUGAGCCAGGCUACCUACGCUGGGGAAAAUCUGUUCCUUCACCCAGCAGAUACUUCAUUAGUGUUACUGUUUGCCAGGCACUGUUCUAGGUGCUGGGAGUAUAAGAGCAAUCAAUCACAGGGUCCCGGCCCUCCUGGGUUCUCAUUCUCGUUCUAGUUGGGGAGAGAUAGACAGUAGAGAAACAAAUGCAGGUAGUGUAGGUAGUGAAAAAGGCAGUGAGGGAGAUGAUGGCAGGGCCAGGUGUGUUGGAAAAGGAGGACGUGCUCUUUCCCAUGGAGUGAGUGGGCAUGGCCUCUGCAAGGAGGUGAUGCCAAGCAGGGAGCUGCAUGAAGGGGACAGUGUGGCUCCUUGGGGGAAGAGCUGCUCAGGUGGAGGCAGCGCUAAGUGUCAGUUUCCCCAGGAGGGAGCAGGUUUGGUGCAUUUGAAUGGGGAGGCACUUGGGUGAGGAAUGGGGUGGGUGGGGCCUGUUCCUCCUGUCCCCCUUGGUGAAGACUCAGCCUCUACCCUGGAGACACUUGCUGUCACAUGAGACAUUGCAGGUGGAGGCCUCUGGGAUGCUGCAGGCACAGAGGGCAGGGGUGAUAUGGAGUGGUGAUAAUUUGAGUUGGGUCUUAUGGGCUAUGUAGGAGUUUGCCUCACAGACUCCCCUCUCAAUGACUUCUUGACCAUGAGCCCACCAUCUCCUUAGCUGAAACACCAAGGCCUCUGUGGCAGUAAUUGGAAGUCACGAGCCUCCUGGUUGCCGAGGGCUCCUCAGGGCACCUCGUAGAUGUGUCCAGGGCAGGCUGGCUUCCCUCCUGGGUCACUGAUGGGCCCCUUCCAACUCUCUCUCUAAUCUAUCUGCUCCAGCAACAAAAGGAGUCCUGCUGUGGCCUCCAAGGGCCCGCAGGACUUGGUCCCUAGUGACACUCUGGCCAUGUCUCUGCUGCGCUGGGCCCCGGGCUGCUUUUUGAAUGAGACAGGUGUGUUCCUGCCUCUGUGACUUUGUGCUUGGCCUGGAGUGUCCCCACAUGUGCCAUAUCCUGUCUCCUCAAUCAGGCCUGCACCACCCUGGCACACUCGGUGCCCUUUUCUGACUUACUCUUCGGGGCCUGGCUCAGGCUGUUCUUCCUUGGGCUAGAGGCUGUCUCUGUCCAAGAACUCCCAUUGUCCCAG